AGAGUUUGAUCAUGGCUCAGAAUCAACGCUGGCGGCGCGCUUAACACAUGCAAGUCGAACGAGAAAGGGGAGCAAUCCCUGAGUAAAGUGGCGUACGGGUGAGUAACACGUGGGUAAUCUACCUCUGGGUGGGGAAUAACUUUGGGAAACCGAAGCUAAUACCGCAUAAGACCGAAAGGUGAAAGGAGCAAUUCGCCGAGAGAGGAGCCCGCGGCCGAUUAGCUAGUUGGUGGGGUAAAGGCCUACCCAAGGCGACGAUCGGUAGCCGGCCUGAGAGGGCACACGGCCACACUGGCACUGAAACACGGGCCAGACUCCUACGGGAGGCAGCAGUGGGGAAUCUUGCACAAUGGGGGCAACCCUGAUGCAGCGACGCCGCGUGAGUGAUGAAGCCCUUCGGGGUGUAAAGCUCUUUCGGCCCGAACGAUAAUGACGGUACGGGAAGAAGAAGCUGCGGCUAACUACGUGCCAGCAGCCGCGGUAAUACGUAGGCAGCGAGCGUUGUUCGGAGUUACUGGGCGUAAAGGGUGCGUAGGCGGUUUUCUAAGUCUGGUGUGAAAUCUCCUGGCCUAACUGGGAGGGUGCGCUAGAAACUGGAAGGCUUGAGUAUGGGAGAGGUAGGCGGAAUUCCUGGUGUAGCGGUGAAAUGCGUAGAUAUCAGGAGGAACACCUGUGGUGUAGACGGCUUACUGGACCAUCACUGACGCUGAGGCACGAAAGCGUGGGUAGCAAACAGGAUUAGAUACCCNNGUAGUCC
rnacentral:rRNA from 1 species